GAUGAACGCUGACAGAAUGCUUAACACAUGCAAGUCGACUCGAGUCUUCGGACUUGGGUGGCGCACGGGUGAGUAACGCGUAAAGAACUUGCCUCUUAGACCGGGACAACAUUUGGAAACGGAUGCUAAUACCGGAUAUUAUGGUUUCUUCGCAUGGGGGAAUCAUGAAAGCUACAUGCGCUAAGAGAGAGCUUUGCGUCCCAUUAGCUCGUUGGUGAGGUAACGGCUUACCAAGGCGACGAUACAUAGCCGACUUGAGAGGGUGAUCGGCCACACUGGGACUGAGACACGGCCCAG
rnacentral:rRNA from 1 species